UCUACAUGCAAUACCUUGUUUUGUUAUUGAUUCACAAUUUUUAUCUCCAGGAAUCGUCCAAUAUCCCACAUUUAUGGUCAAAUGAAAACGCCUUCUAUGAAGUUGUUUCCAUGUUCCAUUGGAAGUUCAAUCAGUUCUUGAAGAAAUUCCUCCACAUUGCUGGUGGAAAUGACCUGUCACCUUCUUCCUGGUGAUUAUUUCUCUGUACAUAAUAUCGAUGAUCGGAUCUUAUUUCGACUUUGUGAAUCUCCUCUUCCUAGGGUUUGUGAGCAUGGGAACGCUUCCGUAUCUGUACAGUCGAUACGAGAAGGAAGUUGAUUAUCAUGCAGGGAAAAUGAGCCGUAAGAUGAGCAAAAUGUUCAAGAGGUUUGAUUCUAGAGUUCUUAACAAGAUACCCAGAGGACCAGCGAAGGAGAAGAAAUACUCGUAAAUUGUCAAAAACCCUCGUUGUUUCCAUUAUACAUGUACAUUUCCUUAUACAUGUUUGAUCGUUCAUCUAAUGAA